rnacentral:rRNA from 1 species
UACGGAGGGGGCGAGCGUUGUUCGGAAUCAUUGGGCGUAAAGGGCGCGUAGGCGGCCGUCCAAGUCGGGUGUGAAAUCCCUCGGCUCAACCGAGGAACUGCACUCGAUACUGGUCGGCUUGAAUCCGGGAGAGGGAUGCGGAAUUCCGGGUGUAGCGGUGAAAUGCGUAGAUAUCUGGAGGAACACCGGUGGCGAAGGCGGCAUCCUGGACCGGUAUUGACGCUGAGGCGCGAAAGCCAGGGGAGCAAACGGG